rnacentral:rRNA from 1 species
UACGAAGGGGGCUAGCGUUGCUCGGAAUUACUGGGCGUAAAGGGCGCGUAGGCGGCGCAAGUAGUCAGGCGUGAAAUUCCUGGGCUUAACCUGGGGGCUGCGCUUGAUACGCUUGUGCUAGAGGAUGAAGAGGCUCGUGGAAUUCCCAGUGUAGAGGUGAAAUUCGUAGAUAUUGGGAAGAACACCGGUGGCGAAGGCGGCGAGCUGGUCCAUUACUGACGCUGAGGCGCGACAGCGUGGGGAGCAAACAGG